rnacentral:rRNA from 1 species
GGCUUGGCUGGGCGGUCGACCGCAAGGUUUGCACUGCUCUGGUUGAGCUCCAUUUGCUUGGGGAAGCCUGGUGCUCUUAAUUGAGUGCUAGGGGAAAUCAGGACUGUUACUUUGAAAAAAUUAGAGUGUUUAAAGCAGGCUAACGUCUGAAUACAUUAGCAUGGAAUAAUGAAAUAGGACGGACUGAUUCUAUUUCGUUGGUUUCUAGGAUCACCGUA